rnacentral:rRNA from 1 species
CUUUAGGGUCGUAAACUUCUGUUAAGUGGGAAGAAAAUGGCAGUCCUAAUACGACUGCAAAAUGACGGUACCACUAGAGAAAGCACCGGCUAACUUCGUGC